UCUGCAGUUCUCAAUGUGUUGUGUUCUUUCCAAUCAUGCUACCAACACAUCCAAAGUUUUUUGUUUCUUUCGUUUCUCGUUUUCUUUCAUGCAUUGCCACGAUCGCAAAUAUGCACUUAUUCUAACAACAUACACAAACACGGUCAUUUUUUAUUUCAUUAAAAACUUUAUUGAAACAUAAAUUACACUUUCACAACACAUUUAGAAUCAUUCAUACUCACGAAUGGCGUCAUACUGUAAAGUACCGGGUCGAGCCAAGCUGCGGGAGACUUGUCGACAAUCUGCGUUGCCUCUGUUCAGCAAAUUCUUACCUGUCGAUGCAUGCACUGCAUGUGCGUCUGUACACACUGUUCACUUCACACUUCAUCAAAACACACCGGCGCACGAGACUUUGACGAAAUGCGCAUCAACGCACAAACACUGCGCUCGGGACUUAGAACGAAACGCGCACAACCAUCUCCGACAAAGCGUCGCGCUGUACUGGUGGUUUUGUACGCGUAGGAGGGGGGACAUACGGAGCGAUGGUUCGAUGCUGUAGUGUAAGCGAGACAACACGAUGUGACGAGCAGCUCCAAGUUGAGCUCGCUGAAAGAAGACACACACACACAUUCACAGACGGCUCGUCAAAGCACGGUAUUUGUAUUGGUGUUAGUGAAACGCGCGUGUAAAACAGAAUGCGAACUCUCAUCGCAGCGCGUUUCUCCGUGCUUCCUCAAGCUUCCUCAUACCCCUCGGCCUGAAUCACUCAAAAUUUGGGGUCUCAUUGUUUGCGUGGAAUGCGAACUCUCAUCGCAGCGCGUUUCUCCUUGCUUCUUCAAGCUUCCUCAUACCCCUCGGCCUGAAUCACUCAAAAUUUGGGGUCUCAUUGUUUGCGUGGUAAGCACUGAGAGCAACCGGCCUAGCACAGCCCGUCUGGCAAAGUGAGUGUAUUUUUUGAGUGAUUUGAGUACCGUCCCCCGUUAGCAGUUCCCAGAUAGCAAAGCCGAAGGCCUUUGUAUGGGAGCCAUCGCGCUGAUCAAGGCUCACUUUUUCGCGCGCAUAAAGCAAAAUGUGUGCGAAGGCGAAAAAAACCCGAAAACGCUUCGUGUCCUCUCUCGUGUUUCUAGUUUUAUUCUGUCUCGCAUGUCAUCACUCUCUCCCAGUUUUUCGGAUUGAAAUGAGAAUUCACUCUCUUGAUUUGGUUGCGGCAGUCUAGCUGCUUCACACUCUUUAUUCUCUUCCCCGCUUGGCAAAGAGUAACUCAUUUUGAUGCCUCUCGCUACCCCUGGCCCUAGUUUUGAAGGAAUCAUGCGACACACUCGCACUCCACUACCCCAUCCCAUGGAAAAACGCUCCCACCAUCGAGGUGUUGACCAAAAUUUCGCUGUGUGCAUGAGACACACACUCGCACUCCUCCAGCCCUCCACAGCUGAACGCUCCUACCGUUGCGAAUUUGCGAGAAUUUUUGCUCUGAGCGUGAGACCCUGAAGCGCAAGAGAUGACACUAUGUGUAAAGACGAUCAUAAUUCGAUAUGGUCAAAAAGCGUCGAUUAUCGUUUCAUUUAUCUGGUAAUGAUGUUUUCACUUAAUCAAAAUUUUAAACAUUAACAACUAGGCUGAUAACAAUAAUUGAAAUGUAAAUCAGAAUAAAAUCAAUUCAUUUGAAGUAAAAUAAAUUCCAUUAUACUCUAUUUUGACCAUAUGAUCAACACUUGUUCAUAGUGCCAUUUACUUUGUGUUCUUCACUCUCGCGCUGUGUUGUGAUCGUUCGAAACUCAUUGCCAGAACGAAUGCAAAUUUCAUUUGGGAAGGAUUGGUGCUGCAAGAUGCAGCAAAAAUCAUUAAAUGUUAAUAGAAAAGUGGUUAAGUAAAUCGUGAAAGAUGUCAACGCAGGCGUAACUGCAGUUUGUUUUGUUACAUAAUCUACGGCUAUUUCAUUGCCAAAGCUCCUGAUAAUGGAUCAAAGCAGAUGGAUCGGGCAUACAGAGUCGCCAUUUAACAUUAAAUAUCUUCUUGAUCGGCAAACGCAUCAAACACCAAGUGUUUCUCUUCCAACAGCACGCGCCAUCGGUGGAGCAAGCAGCCAACGAUUUGAUCGCCAGUACGCGCCAUCAAGAAUUGAUAUUUUGCCAAACAGUACUGUGAAUAAAAAACUGCACACUUACUGUCCGA